rnacentral:rRNA from 1 species
UACGUAGGGUGCGAGCGUUGUCCGGAAUUAUUGGGCGUAAAGGGCUCGUAGGCGGUUUGUCGCGUCGGGAGUGAAAACUCAGGGCUUAACCCUGAGCCUGCUUCCGAUACGGGCAGACUAGAGGUAUGCAGGGGAGAAUGGAAUUCCUGGUGUAGCGGUGAAAUGCGCAGAUAUCAGGAGGAACACCAGUGGCGAAGGCGGUUCUCUGGGCAUUACCUGACGCUGAGGAGCGAAAGUGUGGGGAGCGAACAGG